rnacentral:lncRNA from 1 species
CUGCCGUUGUGCUAAGAAGAAAAUCUAAACUUGAUAGUUAUAUGCCACUGAACUGUCUUCCUCUCCUCCACGACAAUUAAAGCCCUCUGCUCCCUUCUGCCAUAGUCAUCAGCAAGCCCCUGGGAAUGUAUAGAGCUGAACAAGAUUUGGAAGAUUGCUGAUUAUCAAAACACAGGUCUUGUCCCAUUGUCAAGCCUUGUCAUUAAUAGCAACCUUGAUCCUG